AAGACAGCCUUGAGGUCCAGCAUCACCAGGGCUGUGAGGCCUCUACUACUGCUUCUGCUGGGUCAUGAAUCCUGAGGCGGUGAAGCGGGAGCUCCCCAGACCCCGUGGGCGUUGGGGUUUCCCCUGAGCGAGAGGAGAAAAUAAAAGGGAGGGGAUAGAGGCUGAGGCUGCAGCUUUAUGUUCAAUCUCCACCCUCCACCUCCUCUGUUUGCCUUUGCAGAUCCGUGCAUUGCGUGCAUGGCUCCCACUUGAUGGCUCCAUCAUAGGACACUUAGGAGGAGGUGAGACCUAAUUGGAGGAAGUAAGUCACUGGGGAUUGAGUUCCUGAUGCGUUCCAUUCACCACUGAUUUCUGUAUCUCUCUGUACUUCCUGUCCACCAUUAAGUCAGAAUUCUACCCUAUUACUGUGAUGUUCUGCCCAGACACAUGGGGCCACGCAACUAUGACCUGAACUCUCUAAAGUGAAGGGUAGAAUGACAUCUUUCCUCCCUUAGGUUGUUCAUCAGAUCUUCUGUCCCAGUGAUGAGAAAAGUAGCUAAUAUUCCCUCUAAACAAGAUCAAGAUCUAAACAUCCUAGAAGUAGAUGUGUCCUGGGAUAGCCUCUUCAUUCUCAAGUAAAGCAUAAAUAAGUGAUGGGUAAAGGAGCAGAGUCAAGCCACCAGCACACAGUCAACAACAUAUGUUUUCAUGUGAACAUUUUAGGGGUUUUGUUUUGUUUCAUUGGGAAAGUCUCUGUGCUUAGUUAAGGCUUAGUAAUUUCAAAUUAAGACCAGUUAAUUUACGUUGAUAGUGUCCAAAAAGCCUCACUAAAUAAGCACACAAGAUGGGCCUCAGGGCAUACAUAAAAAGGCAUAGAAAAAAGAUGAGUGGUCUUGAUUGUCCCUUUGACUCACCUGGGCAGAGCCAAUCUCAAAAGUGGAUUUACUGCCAUCAGAUUGGUUUAGGGGCAUAUCUGUAAACAUCUUGGGUGCUAGUCAGUGUAGGAGUACUCAGCUCACAGUGGGCAGUGCUAUCCCUAGUCAGGUUGUCCUGUGCUAUUUAAGAAAAGUAGCUGAAGGUAAACUUGGAGUAAGCAGAAUUUCUCCCAUGGUCUUCACAUAAAGCUCCUGCUUUGGCUUCUCCCAAUGAUGGACUGUAACCUAUAAGAUGAAAUAAACUCUUUCUUCUCC
rnacentral:lncRNA from 1 species